rfam:Aurantimonas sp. TSBA 369 genome assembly, contig: Ga0111599_108
GGCGUAUUUUGCGAUGGCGGAGCUCGACCGCCGGUCGAAGUCAUGAUCGCCUUCAUCGACGAUCAUCGCGGGGAACACGGGGUCGAGCCGAUCUGCCAGGUGCUGCCGAUCGCCCCG